GCAGGGGACCGCAAGGCCUUGCGCUCUUUGAGCGGCCGAUGUCAGAUUAGCUAGUUGGUGAGGUAACGGCUUACCAAGGCGACGAUCUGUAGCGGGUCUGAGAGGAUGAUCCGCCACACUGGAACUGAGACACGGUCCAGACUCCUACGGGAGGCAGCAGUGGGGAAUUUUGGACAAUGGGGGCAACCCUGAUCCAGCCAUGCCGCGUGAGUGAAGAAGGCCUUCGGGUUGUAAAGCUCUUUCGGCCGGGAAGAAAUCGCAUGGGCCAAUACCCUGUGUGGAUGACGGUACCGGAAUAAGAAGCACCGGCUAACUACGUGCCAGCAGCCGCGGUAAUACGUAGGGUGCGAGCGUUAAUCGGAAUUACUGGGCGUAAAGCGUGCGCAGGCGGUUUUGUAAGACAGGCGUGAAAUCCCCGGGCUCAACCUGGGAACUGCGUUUGUGACUGCAAGGCUAGAGUACGGCAGAGGGGGGUGGAAUUCCACGUGUAGCAGUGAAAUGCGUAGAGAUGUGGAGGAACACCAAUGGCGAAGGCAGCCCCCUGGGUCGAUACUGACGCUCAUGCACGAAAGCGUGGGUAGCAAACAGGAUUAGAUACCCUGGUAGUCCACGCCCUAAACUAUGUCAACUAGGUGUUGGGUGGGUAAAACCAUUUAGUACCGUAGCUAACGCGUGAAGUUGACCGCCUGGGGAGUACGGCCGCAAGGUUAAAACUCAAAGGAAUUGACGGGGACCCGCACAAGCGGUGGAUGAUGUGGAUUAAUUCGAUGCAACGCGAAAAACCUUACCUACCCUUGACAUGCCAGGAACUUGCCAGAGAUGGCUUGGUGCCCGAAAGGGAGCCUGGACACAGGUGCUGCAUGGCUGUCGUCAGCUCGUGUCGUGAGAUGUUGGGUUAAGUCCCGCAACGAGCGCAACCCUUGUCGUUAAUUGCCAUCAUUUAGUUGGGCACUUUAGCGAGACUGCCGGUGACAAACCGGAGGAAGGUGGGGGUGACGUCAAGUCCUCAUGGCCCUUAUGGGUAGGGCUUCACACGUCAUACAAUGGUCGGUACAAAGGGUCGCCAAGCCGCGAGGUGGAGCCAAUCCCAGAAAGCCGAUCGUAGUCCGGAUUGCAGGCUGCAACUCGCCUGCAUGAAGUCGGAAUCGCUAGUAAUCGUGGAUCAGCAUGUCACGGUGAAUACGUUCCCGGGUCUUGUACACACCGCCCGUCACACCAUGGGAGCGGGUUCCGCCAGAAGUAGGUAGCCUAACCGCAAGGAGGGCGCUUACCACGGCGGGGUUCGUGACUGGGGUGAAGCCGUAACAAGGUA
rnacentral:rRNA from 1 species